AAUAAGCGUAGUCAUGAGUUUCCGCGUCUAAUUUUGGUCAUCCGUCUUAUUUAAAUUUUUUUUAUAAUUUGUAUUUUUGUUGCUAUGAGAUGAUAAAACAUGAAUAGUAUUUUACUCGUGACUUAUGUUUUUAAUUUUUUUAAAAAAAAUUCAAAUAAAACAAACGGUUAAAGUUCGGCAUGAAAAACCAUGGCUGCACUUAUU
rfam:Oryza sativa (indica cultivar-group) chromosome 3, whole genome shotgun sequence.